AAACUAGAGGGACCUGGCACCCAGACCACUUCAUUGAGCUGAUGUGAUCUAGGUGUCUGUAGUGGUCCUUUAAGUGUGUGUGUAUCUGCAUGCAGUGGCGUACAUACCGCGGUCGCAGGGGUCUUUUGACUUUUCUUUGAGGCAAAUUGUUCCACUGAGGUCUAAUACUUUAAACCAGACUCUCCUAGGCUUGCUUUUAUGCUGUCAGUAGACUUUUAUCUCAUAUUUAGUAAAUUGGAUAUGUGUAGAUUGUAUAUGUCCACUGUCUUGUUUAAAUGUUUCAGAGAUUAAGUAACAGUGUGCAAAACUUAUACACUAUUUCACUUUUCUUGUGACUAUCAUCACAACACAUGGUGUAAUUUUAAGAAGUCCUUUAACGGUAAUGAAAACAAGAAAAUGUGCUGACAGGUGUCUUGAUCUCUUAAUAAAUUCACAAUUAAUCCUUCCUUUGCUACAAAAAUAACUUAACCCCAUUGUUUUCCAACAUAAAGAAUUGCUUAGUUUACUCGAGGGGUCAGCUAGAGAGUCAGCACUAUCACUACCAGCAAUUACGCCAUGUUGUCAAACUGUUGAGAAUUUUUUUCAUUAUUACUGCAAC